rfam:Neotoma lepida isolate 417 scaffold_41, whole genome shotgun sequence.
CCCUCUGGACUUUCCCUAGGUUCCGUGGUUCCCUCCUCUGUGAUCUCACUCUUGCCCUCUUCCCUCUAACUCUGAGGUUAUGGGUUCACUUACAACCUUGCCUCUGGG